rnacentral:rRNA from 1 species
UGCGUAGGUGGUUAGGCAAGUCAGAUGUGAAAUCCCACAGCUCAACUGUGGAACUGCGUUUGAAACUGCUUGGCUUGAGUAUAUGAGAGGAAAGGGGAAUUCUAGGUGUAAGAGUGAAAUCUGUAGAUAUCUAGAGGAACACCGGCGGCGAAGGCGCCUUUCUGGCAUAUUACUGACACUGAGGCACGAAAGCGUGGGGAGCAAACAGGAUUAGAUACCCUGGUAGUC